rnacentral:rRNA from 1 species
UACGGGGGGAGCAAGCGUUGUUCGGAUUUACUGGGCGUAAAGGGCGCGUAGGCGGUCGUGACAAGUCACUUGUGAAAUCUCCGGGCUUAACUCGGAACGGUCAAGUGAUACUGUCGGACUAGAGUACAGAAGGGGCAACUGGAAUUCUCGGUGUAGCGGUGAAAUGCGUAGAUAUUCGGAGGAACACCAGUGGCGAAGGCGGCUCACUGGUCCAUUACUGACGCUGAGGUGCGAAAGCGUGGGGAGCAAACAGG